GAUGAACGCUGGUUGCGUGCCUAAUACAUGCAAGUCGAGCGAACGGACGAGAAGCUUGCUUCUCUGAUGUUAGCGGCGGACGGGUGAGUAACACGUGGAUAACCUACCUAUAAGACUGGGAUAACUUCGGGAAACCGGAGCUAAUACCGGAUAAUAUUUUGAACCGCAUGGUUCAAAAGUGAAAGACGGUCUUGCUGUCACUUAUAGAUGGAUCCGCGCUGCAUUAGCUAGUUGGUAAGGUAACGGCUUACCAAGGCAACGAUGCAUAGCCGACCUGAGAGGGUGAUCGGCCACACUGGAACUGAGACACGGUCCAGACUCCUACGGGAGGCAGCAGUAGGGAAUCUUCCGCAAUGGGCGAAAGCCUGACGGAGCAACGCCGCGCGAGUGAUGAAGGUCUUCGGAUCGUAGAACUCUGUUAUUAGGGAAGAACAUAUGUGUAAGUAACUGUGCACAUCUUGACGGUACCUAAUCAGAAAGCCACGGCUAACUACGUGCCAGCAGCCGCGGUAAUACGUAGGUGGCAAGCGUUAUCCGGAAUUAUUGGGCGUAAAGCGCGCGUAGGCGGUUUUUUAAGUCUGAUGUGAAAGCCCACGGCUCAUUCGUGGAGGGUCAUUGGAAACUGGAAAACUUGAGUGCAGAAGAGGAAAGUGGAAUUCCAUGUGUAGCGGUGAAAUGCGCAGAGAUAUGGAGGAACACCAGUGGCGAAGGCGACUUUCUGGUCUGUAACUGACGCUGAUGUGCGAAAGCGUGGGGAUCAAACAGGAUUAGAUACCCUGGUUGUCCACGCCGUAAACGAUGAGUGCUAAGUGUUAGGGGGUUUCCGCCCCUUAGUGCUGCAGCUAACGCAUUAAGCACUCCGCCUGGGGAGUACGACCGCAAGGUUGAAACUCAAAGGAAUUGACGGGGACCCGCACAAGCGGUGGAGCAUGUGGUUUAAUUCGAAGCAACGCGAAGAACCUUACCAAAUCUUGACAUCCUUUGACAACUCUAGAGAUAGAGCCUUCCCCUUCGGGGGGGCAAAGUGACAGGUGGUGCAUGGUUGUCGUCAGCUCGUGUCGUGAGAUGUUGGGUUAAGUCCCGCAACGAGCGCAACCCUUAAGCUUAGUUGCCAUCAUUAAGUUGGGCACUCUAAGUUGACUGCCGGUGACAAACCGGAGGAAGGUGGGGAUGACGUCAAAUCAUCAUGCCCCUUAUGAUUUGGGCUACACACGUGCUACAAUGGACAAUACAAAGGGCAGCGAAACCGCGAGGUCAAGCAAAUCCCAUAAAGUUGUUCUCAGUUCGGAUUGUAGUCUGCAACUCGACUACAUGAAGCUGGAAUCGCUAGUAAUCGUAGAUCAGCAUGCUACGGUGAAUACGUUCCCGGGUCU
rnacentral:rRNA from 1 species